rnacentral:lncRNA from 1 species
AUAUUAAAUGUUUAAUUAGUUUUCUUACGUCCAGCUCAUUAUUUUAUAAUGUUGCUAAAUAUUCGACCCAGCUCAACUCUCACAAUAAUACAGCUAAUUUUGACGGGAAGACAAAACUACCCUUCUCAGUUUCUAAUGUAGGACCCGAUGAACCACCCAUAUAAAUUGCUAAUGUUGAAUAAACUAUGGUCAUCGCAUAAACCAUGAGAGGUCAAGAUCAUAAUCCGAGCAGAAAAUUACAGGCAAAAUCCAAUUAUGGGCCAUACAGAAUUAUGUAAAAUUUGUCAUAUUCACAAGACUUUUAUGCUUCACCAUCCAAACACAUUACUUGUAUAAG